rnacentral:piRNA from 1 species
CCAGGAAAUCACUAUGUAGACCAGGC